GGUAUCUAUAGUCUUACGAUGUAAAAUGUCAGCUAUCCAGAGUGCCAUUUAUGACUGGGUGAAAUCAACCGGUUCCCUUCGUCUUGAUCCAGAGGAUGAGAAACGUAAGAUUCAAAAAAAUCCAAAUUACCAGGAAAAGUCAUAUAAAACUUUAAGUAACAGAUGCAUGGAGCUGCGUAAGACUUGCAAUCAUCCGUUGCUUAAUUACCCAUUUUUUAGUGACUUAUCUAAAGAGUUCAUUGUAAAAUCCUGUGGGAAAUUGUGGAUCCUCGAUAGGAUCCUUAUUAAGCUUCAAAGAACUGGACAUCGAGUUCUGCUGUUUAGUACCAUGACAAAGCUCCUAGACAUAUUAGAAGAGUACCUGCAAUGGCGGAGACUUGUGUACCGAAGAAUUGAUGGGACAACAAGUUUGGAAGACCGUGAAUCAGCUAUAGUGGACUUUAAUAGCCCUGAUUCAGACUGUUUCAUCUUCUUGCUUAGUAUAUAUCCAUAGACUUCAUCAGAUUCUUGAGCCUUUCAUGCUCAGGCGCCGUGUUGAAGAUGUUGAAGGCUCGCUUCCACCGAAGGUUUGAUUGUGACUCAUUGUUUUACCUUUUACUUUCUAUCUAUCUAGUAGCCCUGUCCUAAUAUCAGCGCUGUGUUGCAGGUAUCUAUAGUCUUACGAUGUAAAAUGUCAGCUAUCCAGAGUGCCAUUUAUGACUGGGUGAAAUCAACCGGUUCCCUUCGUCUUGAUCCAGAGGAUGAGAAACGUAAGAUUCAAAAAAAUCCAAAUUACCAGGAAAAGUCAUAUAAAACUUUAAGUAACAGAUGCAUGGAGCUGCGUAAGACUUGCAAUCAUCCGUUGCUUAAUUACCCAUUUUUUAGUGACUUAUCUAAAGAGUUCAUUGUAAAAUCCUGUGGGAAAUUGUGGAUCCUCGAUAGGAUCCUUAUUAAGCUUCAAAGAACUGGACAUCGAGUUCUGCUGUUUAGUACCAUGACAAAGCUCCUAGACAUAUUAGAAGAGUACCUGCAAUGGCGGAGACUUGUGUACCGAAGAAUUGAUGGGACAACAAGUUUGGAAGACCGUGAAUCAGCUAUAGUGGACUUUAAUAGCCCUGAUUCAGACUGUUUCAUCUUCUUGCUUAGUAUACGAGCUGCUGGGAGAGGCCUUAAC
rnacentral:lncRNA from 1 species